UACGAGGGGGGCAAGCGUUGUCCGGAAUCAUUGGGCGUAAAGAGCGUGUAGGCGGCCCGGUAAGUCCGCUGUGAAAGUCGGGGGCUCAACCCUCGAAUGCCGGUGGAUACUGUCGGGCUAGAGUGCGGAAGAGGCGAGUGGAAUUCCUGGUGUAGCGGUGAAAUGCGCAGAUAUCAGGAGGAACACCAAUUGCGAAGGCAGCUCGCUGGGACGUAACUGACGCUGAGACGCGAAAGCGUGGGGAGCAAACAGG
rnacentral:rRNA from 1 species